rnacentral:lncRNA from 1 species
UUCAAAAAAACAGAGCGAAAGAAUGGAAACCAGAACUUUUCCCCUUCUGGUGGGAAUGGCUAAACACAAAAUCUGGGAGUGGGUGUACGUGGAGCAGAGGAAAUCACUCUUUCUACCUGGAUUGCCAGGUAUAAUAAGGCUUUUGGGGAGAGGGAGGAACCCCGCAUAAGAAUAAUUUGGAGGAAGGAGCAACUCUUUCGGAAGCGCUUUCCUUUUCGAAAGGGACCCCACGCGAGUGUCGAUUCCAGUCCAAAAGCGAGUCCUCUCCCCACCUCGCCACUUUCUUCUCAGUUACAGACAAGGAAAACAGACCUCCUCCCCAAGCCAGGAAUUGUUUAAAAAAGAAGGAGGGAAAGAGGGGGAAAAAAAAAAAAAAGCAAGAGAGAGAGAGAAAUUGGGGGGGGGGUGCGAAGCAGAAGAGGCGGAACAACCCUAAGCAAAAUGGAAAAGAAGGGAAAAUAUACCCGAGAACGUACCUGCGGAGUCCUGUUUGUAGUUUUGGCCAGCAAUGGAGAGAAGAAGAAGCAUGAAAAAGCCGCGGAGUGGAGGAAGGGGAAAAAAAAAGGUGCAGGGAGCUGGAGCUGGCGGAGGGGGAAGCAAAAUUGGUCAAAAGCCUCGCCAAGAGUUGUCGGAAGGGACCGUUAUUCCUGCUGGGCAGGAGAGAGAGGAGAGAGGACCCUGAAACACACGCCACCUAUCUUUGUGGGGAGGGAUAAUUGAAGAGCACCAAACCAAACACGCUUCCGUGGAAGUAAAUCCUCCUGCCAUCGGUAGGACGUACCGCCCAGUGGAUGUACUCAUACUCCCAAGGGAAGGUCUCUCCUUUGCUCCUAUCGCUCAGGUAUUGUUGUGUGUGUGUGUGUACAGAUUUGGACUUCCCCCCUCCCCUUGAGGUGGAUGCAAAACAGAAAGGGGAGCAAUGAGAGUUCUCUCUUUCUCAGGGUUGUUGACAAGAGGGACAGAAAGAAAACAGCAAAAUUGAAAGGUGGUAUAAAAAUGCUUAUAAGUUUAUACAUACGGCACGGAUAUACAGUAUACUGAAAAUACAGAUUGUCCCCCCCUCUGUGUGUGUAAUACAGAAAUGGAGGCUGAGAAAGAACUAGUUUACUCAAAAGUAAACCCUCAGUUCUCAGGGGGACUUAGUUUGUAGUAAUUGUCUUUUAUGAUUUCAGCAAGAGAAAUGUACAGAUUUACCUGGACCUCCACAAAGCACAGGAGGUGGGAGUUAUGUCUAGGUAUGUGCACGGCAAUGUGUGUAUGUAGGGUAUGUGUGCGUGUGCGCAACAAUCAUGGUGGCCCACACGGAUAGAUAUAACGAUACCUUGAGAGGGGAAAGUUGAGUGAGCUCGCUGCUCCGCAUUUCAUAGGAGUAAAAAGUCUUUGGGGAGACUUUGGAAAAGAUUAACAUGAAAAUUAAGCCCUUAGACUCCACCUUUGCACUGUAGGGAUUGGUUAUGCAAAACGGGAAGGGAUUUCCUGGCGAAUACCGCUUUCUACUGUAUGGUUAAUUAAAUCAUCACUCAAAAAGGUUUCCAAUGUGACGCGCCUGUCCUAAUCCAAUCAGGUUACGUAGGUCCUAAAACAAGAAAGAUAUUCCUUUUCCCCACAUCUGGAAGUCAGCAAUUUAGCAAGUACUGCACAUUAUUAACCAAUUCCGAGUCCACAUUCCCAGGGGGACCUUUAAAACGCACACACGCACGCACACGCAUCCACAACCGCUUAAAGUGUGUU